AAUUGCUAGAUUGUAUCGUAGUGGUAUUUUUAAUUUUUUGAGGAACCUCCAUACUGAAGUGGCUGCACCA